rnacentral:rRNA from 1 species
UGGGGAAUAUUGCACAAUGGGCGCAAGCCUGAUGCAGCCAUGCCGCGUGUAUGAAGAAGGCCUUCGGGUUGUAAAGUACUUUCAGCGGGGAGGAAGGCGAUAAGGUUAAUAACCUUGUCGAUUGACGUUACCCGCAGAAGAAGCACCGGCUAACUCCGUGCCAGCAGCCGCGGUAAUACGGAGGGUGCAAGCGUUAAUCGGAAUUACUGGGCGUAAAGCGCACGCAGGCGGUCUGUCAAGUCGGAUGUGAAAUCCCCGGGCUCAACCUGGGAACUGCAUUCGAAACUGGCAGGCUAGAGUCUUGUAGAGGGGGGUAGAAUUCCAGGUGUAGCGGUGAAAUGCGUGGAGAUCUGGAGGAAUACCGGUGGCGAAGGCGGCCCCCUGGACAAAGACUGACGCUCAGGUGCGAAAGCGUGGGGAGCAAACA